rnacentral:rRNA from 1 species
UACAGAGGGUGCAAGCGUUAGUCGGAAUUACUGGGCGUAAAGGGCGUGUAGGUGGUUAUGUAAGUUAGGUGUGAAAUCCCCGGGCUUAACCUGGGAAUGGCGCCUGAUACUGUGUAGCUAGAGUACUGUAGAGGAAAGUGGAAUUUCCGGUGUAGCGGUGAAAUGCGUAGAUAUCGGAAGGAACACCAGUGGCGAAAGCGACUUUCUGGACAGAUACUGACACUGAGGCACGAAAGCAUGGGGAGCAAACAGG